GAACCCUUCGGGGUUAGUGGCGCACGGGUGCGUAACGCGUGGGAAUCUGCCCUUUGCUUCGGAAUAACUCAGGGAAACUUGUGCUAAUACCGGAUGAUGUCUUCGGACCAAAGAUUUAUCGGCAAGGGAUGAGCCCGCGUAGGAUUAGGUAGUUGGUGGGGUAAAGGCCUACCAAGCCGACGAUCCUUAGCUGGUCUGAGAGGAUGAUCAGCCACACUGGGACUGAGACACGGCCCAGACUCCUACGGGAGGCAGCAGUGGGGAAUAUUGGACAAUGGGCGAAAGCCUGAUCCAGCAAUGCCGCGUGAGUGAUGAAGGCCCUCGGGUCGUAAAGCUCUUUUACCAGGGAUGAUAAUGACAGUACCUGGAGAAUAAGCUCCGGCUAACUCCGUGCCAGCAGCCGCGGUAAUACGGAGGGAGCUAGCGUUGUUCGGAAUUACUGGGCGUAAAGCGCACGUAGGCGGCUACUCAAGUCAGAGGUGAAAGCCCGGGGCUCAACCCCGGAACUGCCUUUGAAACUAGGUGGCUAGAAUCUUGGAGAGGCGAGUGGAAUUCCGAGUGUAGAGGUGAAAUUCGUAGAUAUUCGGAAGAACACCAGUGGCGAAGGCGACUCGCUGGACAAGUAUGACGC
rnacentral:rRNA from 1 species